rnacentral:rRNA from 1 species
GUGUCAGCCGCCGCGGUAAGACGAACCGUCCAAACGUUGUUCGGAAUCACUGGGCUUAAAGGGCGCGUAGGCGGGUCUCCAAGUCGGUGGUGAAAUCUUUCGGCUCAACCGGAAAAUAGCCGCCGAUACUGGGGGUCUCGAGGGAGGUAGGGGUCGAUGGAACUUCCGGUGGAGCGGUGAAAUGCGUAGAUAUCGGAAGGAACGCCGGUGGCGAAAGCGAUCGACUGGACCUUUUCUGACGCUGAGGCGCGAAAGCCAGGGGAGCAAACGGGAUUAGAUACCCGCGUAGUCC